rnacentral:lncRNA from 1 species
GCAAUAAUUACUUCGUAUCAUGUUCAUUGCUUUGUCAUAGAUUCUUCUUCUCAAUCCCCACUGAAAACCUUGAACCAACAUCCCUGUGCAAAUAUGGAGGAAUCCGAAGGCAGAAGAUGCCCUUUUUCCAUGCCCAGAUUCAGAGGUAGCAGCUACACGAGAAAAAGCAAUCGAUUAUCGCCUAUGUCGUCACUUGAUCAUUUUCUCGAGACUGUUUUUCCGUUGAUCACGUUUUCUGCUCUCUCAAAAGCUCAACACGAUACUUGAUCUUCCAUGAAUGCACAAAUGCCUUAGUACAAAGUACAUGAUCCUCAAUAUGGUUAAGCUGUAGCAGAUUGUCUAGAGUUCAUUAAAAAGUCUGCAAUCGCAGACGACUCGGACUCGAGUGCUACCUAUUCCAUCGAUCCUGCUACUCGAUUCUUCGUAAUGUAGGUGUGUAUCAAUUAUCUUGUAAUCUGAUUUUGAUUUUCUUUAUUCAUUUUUGUGGUUUUAUUGGGUGGCAGAGGCUGUGAUGUUGAAGGGUUAGCUUAAAUGCAAUUUUUCAACAUAGUAUUGUAAAGUUGAUUUUUAUUACAGGAAAGUAAUAGAAAAGUGGGCUUAUUUUUUAGCAACAAGCUAGCCCCUGUUUGAGCCCCAUUAUUUGUAGAUUAUAAUGAGAUGAAUAAUAUUUUUUUGAAAAAUAAGUGAUUGAAAAGUUUUUGAUUUACGUGCAAUAUUAUUUUAUUG